UGGAAAAUCAAGGCCCUCAGAACAUCCUCAAGAGGAGGAAAUGCAGAAGCUCAAAAAAGAAUUUGAAGCGUGGCAAUAAGCUGCCAAGCUCAAGGAAUGUUGAAAGGUUGUAAUCUUGGUCUGGUGCUUGCCCGAGAGAACUGAAGAAGCAAAAAUUAGUAAUCAAUACCAUUGACAAGUGAUAAUCCUGUAGAAACGAUGAAAGAAAGAGCAGGCUUACGUCAUAGACACAAAGGUGGAA
rnacentral:misc_RNA from 1 species